rnacentral:rRNA from 1 species
GCACUCUAGACGAACUGCCGUUGACAAAACGGAGGAAGUGGGGAUGACGUCAAAUCAUCAUGCCCUUAUGUUCUGGGCUACACACGUGCUACAAUGGCCGGUACAGACGGACGCAAAGCCGCGAGGUGGAGCAAAUCCUAAAAAGCCGGUCUCAGUUCGGAUUGCAGGCUGCAAUUCGCCUGCAUGAAGUCGGAAUCGCUAGUAAUCGCAGGUCAGCAUACUGCGGUGAAUACGUUCCCGGGCCUU